UCAAAUCAUAGAUAAUUUAGGCUGAAAGAAACUUCUGUAGGUCAUCCAAUCCCCUUCUCAGCACAGGUCUCAUUACUUCAGGUUGCUCGUGCUAUGUCCAGUCCAGCUGAACCCUCCAAAGAUGAAGAUUCUGCAAGUUCUGCUGAGAGCUGAUUGCUGCAAUGCAUUGGCUGUGGCUGUGCCGCUGAGGGCCAGGGGAUGGGACACACCUCCAGCAUGGCCUGAGAAAUUCCUGAAUAUGUCAUCAGAAAUUGCUGGAUGUGACAGAUCACAGGCUUCUUCAGCCAGAGACGGUGCACUUGUGCACAGCCCUUCCCUGGUCAUGGGCUGUCCCUUGGAGGGUUCUCUCACAGCUGCCAGAGGAGAGGAUAGCCUUGUGUGCCAUUUACUGCAGUGUGUACCAAGCAUUUAGCUCUGCAGAGAUGGUCUAAGAGCUCCCCUGAGGAGUGAGAGCUGAGGCCCAGAAGGUUUAAAUAGCCUCAUGAAAGCAUGAGGACCCCAGCUUUCUUCUGUGAUUCAUCAGUUUGGACAUCAGAGAGCGCCUAAGUCGAGAGAUUCAGGUAGAAAAUACUUAUGUAUAAGCUGUUAUAAAUGAGACUUAACAGUGCCAUAUUGGAGAAUCAUGUAUUGUAAACUGGAAAGAGC